rnacentral:misc_RNA from 1 species
GAUGAAGAACGUAGCGAAAUGCGAUAAGUAAUGUGAAUUGCAGAAUUCAGUGAAUCAUCGAAUCUUUGAACGCACAUUGCGCCCGCCAGUAUUCUGGCGGGCAUGCCUGUUCGAGCGUCAUUUCAACCAUCAAGCCCCAGGCUUGUGUUGGGGACCUGCGGCUGCCGCAGGCCCUGAAAACCAGUGGCGGGCUCGCUGUCACACCGGGCGUAGUAGAUUUUAUCUCGCUCAGGGCGUGCUGCGGGUUCCGGUCGUUAAAAAGCCUUUUUUACCCAAGGUUGACCUCGGAUCAGGUAGGAAGACCCGCUGAACUUAAGCAUAUCAAUAAGCGGAGGA